GAGUGAACUAUUGUUAAGGAACUCUGCAAAAUGAGUCCGUAACUUCGGAAGAAGGACUGCUGGUUUUAUACCAGCCGCAGCAAAUAGGCCCAAACAACUGUUUAUCAAAAACACAGGUUUCUGCAAAAUCGUAAGAUGAAGUAUAGGGGCUGACGCCUGCCCAGUGCUGGAAGGUUAAAAGGAGGACUUAGCUUCGGCGAAGGUCUUAAUUGAAGCCCCAGUGAACGGCGGCCGUAACUAUAACGGUCCUAAGGUAGCGAAAUUCCUUGUCGGGUAAGUUCCGACCCGCAUGAAAGGCGUAAUGAUUUGGGCGCUGUCUCAACAAUAGACUCGGUGAAAUUUAAAUUCCAGUGAAGAUGCUGGGUACCCGCGACAGGACGGAAAGACCCCGUGGAGCUUUACUGUAGCUUGAUAUUGAAUGUUUGUGCUGCAUGUGCAGGAUAGGUAGGAGACUUUGAAGUCGGAACGCUAGUUUCGAUUGAGUCACCCUUGAGAUACUACCUCUGUUGUAUGAACGUUCUAACUCUGAUCAGUUAUCCUGAUCGAAGACAGUGUCUGGCAGGCAGUUUGACUGGGGCGGUCGCCUCCUAAAAGAUAACGGAGGCGCUCAAAGGUUUGCUCAGAAUGGUUGGAAAUCAUUCGUAGCGUGUAAAGGCAUAAGCAAGCUUGACUGUGAGACUGACAAGUCGAGCAGGUACGAAAGUAGGACUUAGUGAUCCGGUGGUUCCGUAUGGAAGGGCCAUCGCUCAACGGACAAAAGCUACCCCGGGGAUAACAGGCUCAUCUCCCCCAAGAGUCCACAUCGACGGGGAGGUUUGGCACCUCGAUGUCGGCUCAUCGCAUCCUGGGGCUGUAGUCGGUCCCAAGGGUUGGGCUGUUCGCCCAUUAAAGCGGUACGCGAGCUGGGUUCAGAACGUCGUGAGACAGUUCGGUCCCUAUCCGUCGUGGGCGCAGGAAAUUUGAGAGGAUCUGUCCUUAGUACGAGAGGACCGGGAUGGACAUACCUCUGGUGUACCAGUUGUUCUGCCAAGAGCACCGCUGGGUAGCUACGUAUGGAUUAGAUAAUCGCUGAAAGCAUCUAAGUGAGAAACUAACCUCGAGAUGAGAUUUCCCAUUCGUCAGAAGUAAGACCCCUGAGAGACGAUCAGGUAGAUAGGCUAGAAGUGGAAGUGUAGUGAUGCAUGGAGCGGACUAGUACUAAUAGGUCGAGGACUUAACCAAG
rnacentral:rRNA from 1 species